rnacentral:rRNA from 1 species
GUGGGGAAUAUUGGACAAUGGGGGGAACCCUGAUCCAGCCAUGCCGCGUGUGUGAAGAAGGCCUUUUGGUUGUAAAGCACUUUAAGCGAGGAGGAGGCUACCGAGAUUAAUACUCUUGGAUAGUGGACGUUACUCGCAGAAUAAGCACCGGCUAACUCUGUGCCAGCAGCCGCGGUAAUACAGAGGGUGCAAGCGUUAAUCGGAUUUACUGGGCGUAAAGCGCGCGUAGGUGGCCAAUUAAGUCAGAUGUGAAAUCCCAGAGCUUAACUUGGGAAUUGCAUUCGAUACUGGUUGGCUAGAGUAUGGGAGAGGAUGGUAGAAUUCCAGGUGUAGCGGUGAAAUGCGUAGAGAUCUGGAGGAAUACCGAUGGCGAAGGCAGCCAUCUGGCCUAAUACUGACACUGAGGUGCGAAAGCAUGGGGAGCAAACAGGAUUAGAUACCCCGGUAGUCC